CCCAGGGAUUGGAAACAGACACCCCGGGCAGUUCUUGGGCAGGGGGUCAUUUAUGGCCCUGCUGAGGGAAGGCACUCAGUUCUGAGCCUGGGCCGUCGCGUUGCCCCGUCUCCCCGCCUGGCUCCUCCUCAGCCCCUUCUCUCUCUCAGCCCACACUACGGUGACUCAGACUGUCUCCAGCAGAGGUGGGGCAGUGGAGUGUGUGCCAGGCUGGGGAGCAUGAGCUGCCAGUGACAGCAAGGAAGAAAAGCCUUUCUCCCAACCUGCCCUCUUCCUGGACUUGUCUUGGUUUCACCGGUUCCAGAGGAGGCCGAGGCCCUGGGCCUGGAAUGCCUUUCCCCCUGGAGCUACAGUAGUUCUGACCAUAUCCCCAAUGCUCAGAGAAUAUCACUGACACACACCUCCUGACAUCCUGGCAACUUUGUGGGAAUGUGUGGUUUCAAGAUGUUUCCUUUUUCGUUUGUGCUUCAUGGCUCAGCACUUCAGAGAGUGACUUAAAAUCAGGUGCCUUCCUACCAGGAACUCUGCUGCCAGAGGUUCAAGUGAUGACAGCCAAGAAGCAGAAUGCACCAUGAUCUGGUCUAGAGUGUUUUUUGUGGGAAGGCUGCCAGUCAUGAAUUUGUUUCCUUCAAUCGAUGAAGAGCUCUACAGAUGAUCCAUUGCUUCCUGACUAAGCUUUGGUAGUUUGUCCUUCUGGAAUUUGAGUGUGAGUUUGAGGAGAUACUACUCUGAGUUUAUCUUGAAUAUUUUCCACCCAUAUUUAACUUGUAGGGGUUUUAACUGACUUUUUUUGAGUUUAUACUGCGUUUCUUUUCUUGUGUGUUAACAUGAGUCCUGUGGUAGUCUUUAGUGUCGUUCCUUCCAUGAUAUUCUAUUUUUGCUUCCAUGUGGGCAUGUGAAAGAAUGAAUAUCCUGGUCUUCUUGUAGUUGGAUACGCCCCCAUGACAUGUUCUGGCCAAUGAGUUGUGAGGAGAAAUACCAUUUUCUCACUUCUAGGCUAGAUAACUUCAUUACUGAUUCUGGCUUCAAUUUUCUUUUCCCAGCCUAAUUGUGGAAAUGUAUUGAGAAGGAGUUUUUAUCAGCCUGGAUCCUUGGGAAAGUGUAAUGAGUAAAGCAUCCUGACAACCUCUACCGGAUGUAUGGCAUGUGCAAGAAAUAAGCCUUUCUUGUUUCCGGGCACUGAAAGUCUGAAGUUGAUUAUUAUUGUGGCCAAGUCUCCUACCCUGUUGAUACCGUUUCUUCUUUGCUUUAUCCUGCUAAUUACAUAAGAUAGCUUAAAAAUAACAAUACAAAUAAUAAUAAUAUAUCAUUAGCAUAAUAUAUAUGAUAUGUAUAUAUGAGAUAUGUAUACUAUAAUGAUACUAUUAACAAUAAAACCACUGAGUGAAGUUUCAUAUUUCUUUUGAAGUUCUUCUAGCUCUUAAUAUGACCUACUAAAGGAUGAGCCAAUUCUUAUGUCUCAAAGUCCCUUGAGAUUAUUUUUAUUUUCCUUCUGGAAUGAUGUUACCCAUUUUAUGUAUUGCCGAGACAUCCUUAAGCUAAAUUCAGGGCUUAAGGUUUCGUGAGACAUGUGGGUGCUCUGACUUUGGACUGCAGUUGUGAUGAUGACCUCUCCAAGGCCUUUCCUCACUCUCCUGAGCACUCAGGCAUCUUUCCUUGCAGCUCCCUGGGGCUGGGCUGGGGGUAAGCUGGUGGACUUCUAGGUUACCGCUGGCCCGUUGGUGUAGCCCUUUGAGGCCCCAGCUUUCUGUGGGCCCAGGUGCCUGAGCAGACGCCCACCUUGUGUAGGUCCCGCCCACUUCCCUGUGAGGCCAUUGCAAUGAAAGCCCAACUUUGCGUGGAGAGACAAUGCUCAGGAGAACAGCCCCCCGGCCCACUCUGCUUCCAUCUCUGGAUUCUCACUUAUUUUCUCACCUCCUUGAUACUUAAGAUUAAAAAAAACUUUUAUUCAUUAUUUUUAAUGGUAAAUCGCUCUGAGCAAUCUGCCACAUGUCCUCGAGUGCAGGCUCAUAGUUGUUUCUGAGGCAGGAACCGAUGAGGCAUUUACGUGGUGGUGGCCCGCAGGAGAACUCCUGGCUGGACAGUAAGAAUGACUCCAUCAUCUCUUUGUCAGCCUCUCUGUUCUGUCUGUCCUAGGCAGGCUCAGCCCUGUCAUUAUUGUUUAUACCUGGGCAAUGACAGUGUCUUCCUCAGUGCCCCUCUUCGGUGACCCGAGUCCUCCUCAUCCUUGCCUGCCCCGAAGGAAGCAAAGGUGCACGGGAGGCUGCUACUCUCUGCCUUGCACCUGGGCAGCUCGUGGGUGGGCGUCCAUGCCAGAGCUCCCUUCUUAGUACAAAGUGAUGCAUACAGUUCAUCGUAGAAAUUUUAGAAAAUACAAACAGAUGUGUAGAAGAAAAGCAGAUCUGCUUAGAAUCCCAGAACACCUGGUUAACAUUUGGGGCUCUUUCUCCCCCCGCCUCCCCUGUGUUAUCUUACACAGAUGUGACUCUCCAGCCUGAGUUUUCUUGUAUCUGGAAGCAGUGUCACUGUGGCUACAUGCUAGUACAUCAGCAAGUGCUGACUGCGAUGGCCCCAGGGUUUCAGAAAGCCUGGCCGGUGUGCACCCAGGGCUGUGGCUCCUCUGGGGAUCUCCCUGGGAUCUCUGUGAAUCACAAGCUCCUUCCUGUGCCCCAGGGAUGUUGGAAGGCUCCCUGUUGUUGGUCUGUCUGGGGGCGAUUCUGCCCGUCGCACACAGUGUGGGUCUGUUGGUGGUCACUUCCCAUCCCUUCUUCCUGGCUGCUCAAGACGCCGCCCGGCAGUUCUGCGGGUCACCGCUCACCACCGUCUCCUGCCUGGUAACUGGAUUUCACUUUGGCAGGAAACUCUGGCUUGACGUGAUGAACUUCCCAGUAGCCCUGAGAAGUGGGAGCUAAGGAAACAAAACAAUUUUCUUUGGACAUAUAAAGAUAAAAUCUUUGUACACAUAAAGACAAUACCAUUUAGACUUGAAUAUAAUGUACUGUUUAUUACAUAAAUAAUAUUUAACUAAAAAAUUUGAUAUUAAUUUUAGAUUCAGGCAUAGGCAUCUCUGGCUGAGAGGGCUGAUGUGGCUCUGGGACCGUCUGCUCUUUGCCUUCCAGUCUUCCCAUGGCCCACCUGGCCCCUGUAUGUUGGGGUAUUGAGGUCACAGGCCUGUCUUAGUCUUCUCUUACCUUCUGGGCUGUAGCCCUUUUCUCAGGUCCCUGGCUCCUGUAUGGACACCCCCCUGAGUCUCGGCGCCCUGUCUCCGUCCUUGGCUGGGCGUGUCCCAUGCCCCUGUGCAAGCUUGUUUGGACGCCCCUCUUCUCUCUGGCUCCUGCUUCCCCCACCCCACCACGGAAGCUCUUCUCUGGUCCUCAGAGUCCCAUGGCUCUGUGCUACAGGAAGGGACCCACGCCAUGGCCAUCUGUCAGCCUCUGCCUGCCUCCCCCAGGGGGCCUCUGCUUUCUCUACCUCUUCUCUGACAGCCCUUCCUGCCUCCCUGAAGGCAGCCUCUCCCUGACCACAGUGAUCCCAGGCUACGGGGUGGCUGGGUGCCCGAGCUGUGAGGAAUCCGGGUGCUGGAUGCCAAGUCGCUGUUCUUGGCAGCAUCUCUUUCCUUUUCCUGCUCAGCCUGGACACGCUGAGACCCCAGGGCCUGGCUGGGAAGAGGCUCCCCAGAGCCCAAAGGCCGCUCUCUAUCUCUGUAAAGUAGCUCCAUGUCUCCGCCUCGGCCUUGCCGGGCACAGUCACCUCCCCUCCUCCGGCUGGUUGCCUGCCCUGGCCGCACUCCCACUGCUCACCCUCGGGUCAGCCCUUUGCUCUUCCUGUUCCUGUCUUCAGCAGGCUC